UACGUAGGGGGCAAGCGUUGUCCGGAAUCAUUGGGCGUAAAGAGCGUGUAGGCGGCCAGAUAAGUCCGCUGUGAAAACUCGAGGCUCAACUUCGAGCUGUCGGUGGAAACUAUUUGGCUAGAGUCCGGAAGAGGAGAGUGGAAUUCCUGGUGUAGCGGUGAAAUGCGCAGAUAUCGGGAAGAACACCUGUGGCGAAGGCGGCUCUCUGGGACGGUACUGACGCUGAGGUGCGAAAGCGUGGGGAGCAAACAGG
rnacentral:rRNA from 1 species